AGAGUUUGAUCCUGGCUCAGAUUGAACGCUGGCGGCAGGCCUAACACAUGCAAGUCGAGCGGUAACAGGAAUUAGCUUGCUAAUUCGCUGACGAGCGGCGGACGGGUGAGUAAUGCCUGGGAAUAUGCCUUAGUGUGGGGGAUAACUAUUGGAAACGAUAGCUAAUACCGCAUAAUGUCUUCGGACCAAAGAGGGGGAUCUUCGGACCUCUCGCGCUAAGAUUAGCCCAGGUGAGAUUAGCUUGUUGGUGAGGUAAGAGCUCACCAAGGCGACGAUCUCUAGCUGGUCUGAGAGGAUGAUCAGCCACACUGGAACUGAGACACGGUCCAGACUCCUACGGGAGGCAGCAGUGGGGAAUAUUGCACAAUGGGCGAAAGCCUGAUGCAGCCAUGCCGCGUGUAUGAAGAAGGUCCUGGUUGUAAGUACUUUACUAGUCGUGUAGGAAGG
rnacentral:rRNA from 1 species